CCAUCUGAUCUUUGAACCAUUCGCUCUGGUACCAUUUGUUGGGUUCGAAAUUGAGAGAGCGUCAUAUGGAAGCUUAAAGUUUGCAAACCAAGAUGGUGAUAAUUCAGAUGACAAAUAAAAAUAUACUAAAAACAUAUUAUUGAAUAUAGUUUGGCCAAUUGGCCUACAUAUUAAAAAAUUUAAAACUAUUGGGAGAAAAUCUCUCCCUAAAUAAAUCUCUUUAAACAACUACAUUGUGGAUGCUAUUGUGUUAUGGUA
rnacentral:lncRNA from 1 species